CGCGGGAUAGCGCAGUUGGCAGCGUGCCAGGUUCAUACCCUGGAGGUCGGUGGUUCAAGUCCAUCUCCCGCAA
rnacentral:tRNA from 1 species